UAGAUACCCUAUUAUUUGAAAUGUAAUUUAUUUACUAAAGUAGUAGUAGUUAUGUUCUUGAAACUUAAAAAAUUUGGCGGUAUUUUAGUCUAUUCAGAGGAACCUGUCCUAUAAUCGAUAAUCCACGUUGGACCUUACUUAAAUUUGUUUUCAGUAUGUAUACCGUCGUUAUAAGAAUAUUUUAUAAGAAUAAUAAUUUUCUAGAUUUUUUAUAAAAAUUUAUAUCAGAUCAAGGUGCAGCUUAUAUUUAAGUAGAGAUGGGUUACAAUAAUUAUAUUUAUACGGAUUAAUUUUUUAAAUAGAAUUAUGAAGGUGGAUUUGAAUGUAAAAUUAUAAAGAUUAAUAAUUUGAUUUUAGCU
rnacentral:rRNA from 1 species